UAACAUUUUAUAAUAUUUUUGAUAUUCAGGUAUUAUUUGGUUUUGGGUUGGAUUUGGUUUGAUUUUUAGUGUUUUGGAAAUAAAAAACGAGAAACCAGCGACUGAACAUUGGGCAAAAUGUAGGUUCGGUUUCGAUUUAGAAAUUAGUCGGUUAAGUCGGUUCGAUUUUUCGAAUUUCGGGUAAAAUUGAGUUAGCUGAGUCGUCUCCACAUCGCCGGAAAUGGACGGAGAAGGAGCCUCAGGCGAGUCUUCGUCUUCAAAUCAGCUAGAGAAUUGGACAGAAGAACAGGAUCGGCUGAAGAAAAAACUGAUCACGCACGAUGACUUCCCAUGGAAGUUACCAUCAUCAACGGAACAUCCUCAGAGAUCAGAGACACUUAAGUACGUUGGAGGUGUGGACAUAAGCUUCUCCAAGGACGAUUCUUCAGUGGCGUGCGCUUGUCUCGUUGUCCUCGAGCUACCUUCUCUCCGUGUAGUUCACAAUGAGCUCUCUCUAAUCCGCCUCCAAGUUCCUUAUGUUCCUGGGUUUCUCGCCUUUCGUGAGGCUCCGGUUCUGUUGCAGAUUCUUGAGAAGAUGAGGGAUGAUCAUCAUCCUUUCUAUCCUCAGGUACUGAUGGUUGAUGGGAAUGGGAUUCUUCAUCCACGAGGAUUUGGCUUGGCGUGUCAUUUAGGUGUUCUUGCUCAUCUUCCGACCAUUGGUGUCGGAAAGAACCUGCAUCAUGUGGAUGGCCUGGACCAGUCUGAGGUUAGACAGUUGUUUCAGCACAAAGAAAAUGAGAAUGAGCAAGUUAUCAAGUUGGUGGGGAAGUCUGGUUUCACGUGGGGAGUAGGGUUUAGGCCAACUCUGAGUACUCUGAAGCCUAUAUACGUUUCGGUUGGCCAUCGCAUAUCACUUGACACUGCGGUUGAGGUUGUCAAGAUGACCUGCAUGUACCGCGUACCUGAACCUAUUAGACAGAUAUAAGAUCAAGAGCAUAUCUUCAAAAGCACCAACUUCGUCUCUUAAAAGAUUUGGGACCACUCGGAAUGGACUGAACAUUAGUCAUUAAAACAACCAAAGAAGGCUGUGAACACUUUUCCACAUUAAAGAUCAUUCUGCAAUUUCUUUACAGAGGAGCUCCACACAAGUUUUUCCUUUAUUUAUCUCAGUGACUCUAAACCAAGAUUAUUUCGAUUUAUCCACCGACUCUAACCAAGAUCAUUUAGAAGAGAUGAGUCUUGUUGUAUCAUGUUUGUGUCCAAUACAUUGUAUGUAUUAAGCUAUGUAAUAAUUUCCAUAUAGCCAUGUCACAUUUACUUAAAAUUUGAAAAUGAGAAUUAUGUUUAUAAAA